UUAUGUUUAUGGUGUUUAGCGCCAAGGACAGGCCUGUUCGUCUGAGUGCAGAGGGUGUUCAACACCAAGGACAGACAUGACUAUUU
rnacentral:pre_miRNA from 1 species